ACUACGGGGAGCAGCAGGGAGGAAUAUUGGUCAAUGGGCGGAAGCCUGAACCAGCCAAGUAGCGUGCAGGAUGACGGCCCGACGGGUUGUAAACUGCGUUUAUACGGGAAUAACGCGCCUUACGUGUAGGGCUUUGCAUGUACCGUAUGAAUAAGGACCGGCUAAUUCCGUGCCAGCAGCCGCGGUAAUACGGAAGGUCCGGGCGUUAUCCGGAUUUAUUGGGUUUAAAGGGAGCGUCGGCCGCAUGUCAAGCGUGCUGUGAAAUGUCCGGGCUCACCCCGGGCCUUGCAGGGCGGACUGGCGUGCUUGAUUCCGCGGCAGGCAGGCGGAAUUCGUCGUGUAGCGGUGAAAUGCUUAGAUAUGAC
rnacentral:rRNA from 1 species